UACGAAGGGGGCUAGCGUUGCUCGGAAUCACUGGGCGUAAAGGGUGCGUAGGCGGGUCUUUAAGUCAGGGGUGAAAUCCUGGAGCUCAACUCCAGAACUGCCUUUGAUACUGAAGAUCUUGAGUUCGGGAGAGGUGAGUGGAACUGCGAGUGUAGAGGUGAAAUUCGUAGAUAUUCGCAAGAACACCCGUGGCGAAGGCGGCCCACUGGGCCGGAACUGACGCUGAGGCGCGAAGGCGUGGGGAGCGAACGGG
rnacentral:rRNA from 1 species